AUUGAACGCUGGCGGCAGGCCUAACACAUGCAAGUCGAGCGGAUGGACGGAGCUUUUUCCUGGAUUCAGCGGCGGACGGGUGAGUAAUGCCUAGGAAUCUGCCUGGCAUUGGGGGAUAACGUCCGGAAACGGGCGCUAAUACCGCAUACGUCCUGAGGGAGAAACGCGGGGAUCUUCGGACCUCACGCUAUCAGAUGAGCCUAGGUCGGAUUAGCUAGUUGGUGGGGUAAAGGCCUACCAAGGCGACGAUCCGUAACUGAUCUGAGAGGGUGAUCAGUCACCCUGGAACUGAGACACGGUCCAGACUCCUACGGGAGGCAGCAGUGGGGAAUAUUGGGCAAUGGGCGAAAGCCUGAUCCAGCCAUGCCGCGUGUGUGAAGAAGGUCUUCGGAUUGUAAAGCCCUUUAAGUUGGGAGGAAGGGAAGUAGAUUAAUACCUUGCUGUUUUGACGUUACCAACAGAAUAAGCACCGGCUAACUUCGUG
rnacentral:rRNA from 1 species